CUGUGAGUGCGUGCGUGCAUUCCUCGAUUUAAAAGGUUAUUUUGAAUAAAGGCGCAUGCAGACGAAUGUUGAGAAAUGUCUGUUUCAUCGCGAUGACAUGUUUGAGCGAAAAGCGGUCGGAUAUGUUGAGGUGGUUCAAAGCAACGGUCACAGCGUGUCUUUGUCAUUCGGGGCGGUGAGUGAAUGUGGGAGGGAGGAAAGGUUGCCACCUCUUCCCUCGGAGAGUCCAGAGGGGCAGAGUCGCACCGCAUAGCACCGGCGCUGGAGUGAGGGACUGUCGCUGGCUCCGGAGGGCCGGAGGCUACUCCUCCGGCCGCAGCCCCAGCCGCUCUCCCUGCCUCGCAAGAACACGAAAACCCUCCCCCACCGAUGCUGGAGACACUCGCCUUUAUAUCUGCAGCAUCAGCGAGAAAGCCCGGCUCGGCGCAGGCUCAGUGUUGACCGCCGCAGUCCCGGACGGAGGAGGGGGGCUCGGGAGCUCAGCAUCUUCGCAACGGGUUAAGUAGGAUUAAUACCAAAUCCCUAUUAUAUUUGCCAAGCACCUUGAAUUUAUCAAAAUUCCCCCUCGCUGUUCUGGAGCUCCGGAGGGAGGAAAUUCUGCCCACAGUGUACGAUCCAGACAUAUCAUGUCUUUACAUGCAAUCUCUUUCUGAAUGUGCAAUGUCUUUCCUCCUCGGGAGUGCCGCGUCCUUCACAGUGGAUUGGUUCCUCUUUCGGAGCAGAGGGCAGGCGGCCGGCGUGGGAAAUGGGCUCGACGUGAGCUGCAUGGUGGAUGGCAGCGCUGCCCCUGGUCCACGUGCCCUGGCUGCCGGGAGGGGGGCUGUGCCGCUCGGCACCGCGGGCUCUCGGUCCAGCGGGCACAUAGCUGCUCGGCUGCCGGUAGGACCGAGUCCAGCGCUUUCUCAGACGGGGGAGGCUUGUCCCUCUCGGUCAGAUCUGUCGCGCGGUGCAAUUCCCCCCUCCCCCGACUCCCUCCCUCUCUCACACACAGACGCCCACACGCGCUCAGAUAGGACACGGCAUUUGUCCUCCUCAUCUGGUGAGAUCAAUUGGGAAGCAGGGUCACAAAUAUAAUCGGCUGUAAUAAAUAAAAUAGCCCGAGAUGCUGGAGAUACACAAGAGGGGAAAUAAGACUUUGUGUCCUUAAAGGGAACAUCUGAUAAGGCCACCGAGGUGGCAUCUUGCGUGUGAGAAGGAAUCCGUCUUCCUGACAUUCGCAGCCUGCUGUAUGUGGGAAAACCCUAAAGCAGCCUGGGAGCUUCCCCAGCUCCCCUGCACCCACCGUCCCUGCCCCCACAUCCCCACCCCCCUGGAGCUCGCUUUCCGAUGCUGUGCGGCGGGGCUUUGUUGUCGUUGUAGUUGUUGAUUGGAAAGACAGAGGUCAUCGCUAAAAUAUGCAGAUGCAAUUAAUGGCUUAGUUUAUCUGCAUUUCUUGGCGAAGCCGCUGGCGGCCGAACUCGCGUCCGCAAUUGACGCUUUCAGCCCACGACGAUUUGGUUUUUUCUCAGUUUAGGAAUGUCGGUGGCUUUGGCUGGAAAUUAGUUUCCGAGAUCUGCGGUAGGAAUCCAUCUCUGGUUUCAGAGAGACAGACUACUUAAAUAUCCCUACCACUCUAGACAUUAACAAAUACAUAUUGCCUAUUCCUGUGUAUGCGAACAGAAGUGAAGAAGCUCCCAAAGGGAAAAAAAAAAAAAAGCCAAAAAACCCCAGGUGGGCUUGAAAGUAACAUAUUGAUAAUAAUACGAGAAAAAGGUUAAAUACAGUAAACAUGACAGCAAAUUCGAAAGCAGAGGAAAAAACAAGGACAAAACCCUGCGUAAAGCAGUUAAAGCCAUUUGACGGGAGAAACUAACUCAAGAACUCCACCAAGGGACAAACAGCUGAAAUGACACCACAACAGCACUAAACCCGCGUUGACCUUUCAUCUUUCUGAAGUGUCGUGCUGAUCUGGUGCAAUCCCGUUGUGAUCUCUUCACCUCUGUUCCCUACGCAGCCUCCCGCUGGCCGCUUCAGAGCUCCCUUUCUUCGCUGCAGUGAAUAUACUGGGAAGUCGGCUGAAUUAUAGGGAGUGCUGACACUUGGCUGGUGUCUUUCACAGCUUUGCAAAUAUGCUUGCUAUGUAGUAGCAUGUAAUAGGCAGGAGUGAUUAAAUUAUUCAUUGCAGCGACAGCCUUUCUGAAGGACGUUAAACAUUAAGAGUUUAAAAAAGGAAACCACAGAUUCACUUUUAAGCAGAUAACAACUGCAUCUGUGCUUAUUUAAUGGAAUGUUAGCUAAGGGUGGAACCAGUCACUUUGUUUAAAUCCUCUUUCUUUUGCUCUCCGUGAGAAUUUUGAACUAGAUAAUGCACCAUAAAAGUUACUGAUGGAGCAAAAAUAAUCUGUCUUGGAUAACAGUGGUGAAAUCUCACAAUUAUGAUUGCUCCAUCUUAAGCUAGUAUUUGAGGUCUGUUCAAAAUAAAAGGUUCUUGCAUAGGCAUGAUUCCAUCAGCAUUUGAGUUCUCGCAUUUGUAAAGAAUGAUGAAAAAUAAUGUUUUGUAAAAGCGAUAGUGAUUUUGUUUACUAGGAUUGUUGUAUCGUGCUUAUAUUCCUUACAAAUCACAAUGAUUAAGUUUGAAGUUUUCUUUUUAAAUUUUUCUAAAAAUUACAUUAUUCUGUAGAAUCUGUUAUGAAAGGUCUUUUACAGGCAGAAUGAGGGUUUUUUUUCCCAGAUAUUUACAAAAAAAUAUUCAAAAUCAUACGCAUUAUGCUUGAAAUUUGAAUGAAAAAUUAAUAAAAGGUCAUUAAAAGGUAUAUGAAUUUUCAUGAGGGUAGGCAGAUUUUGGUUAGAUUUAUGCUUAAUAUGCAACUUCUGGCUUUCCUGGAUUUGUAAGGAUAUAAAUGAAUGCUGUACCCAGCCCCAUUAUUUUAUAAAUUUAUUUUUAUUUAAACUAUUGUUCAGUUUCUCUAUAUGCAAAGUAAACUAUAGGGAAAAAAACCCAAACAUUUGAAGUGAGCUUGGAUAAAUACUUAUCAAAAAUAGAGGGAAAUUAUGAAUUAGUAGUAUAUAUUCCACAUAAAGAGAUACAAUGAGACAUUCAGAGGAGAUAAUUAAAGCUGGAUUUAAUUUAAAUGAAAUGUAUGAGAAUUAGGUAGCACUGGCAAAGAAAGAAAAAUGUGUUCAUUGUCACUGAAAAUAUUAAAUAGGUACAGUUAAUAUGCAUAUGGAUUCACUAAUAGGGAGCAUCAGUUACUUUUGGAAAUAAUGUAGGAUUUUCUGCUAUAAUAUUUCCCGGGUUUAUAUCAACAGUGAGCCCACUGAAGGUCUCAAAGUGCUGUUGUAAAUUAUCCCUACAAGAUAAAAGGAAGUGCAGUGACCUACUCAGUCACCCAGCAAACCACUGACAAAUGGGUCUUUCCAGAUUAAGUUCAUCAGACCACGGUGUGCACUGCUGUCAGGUUGGAGGGGUGUGUCAUAUAUUCUGAAUUCACCUAAAUAUUUGUCUUUAAGUAAACAGCAAUCAUUUCUGCUUUAUUUGAUGGGCUGCUGUAAUCAAAGAAGCUCAUUAUGAAGAGUUUAAAACAAGUCUGUGUUUCAGAGAACUUCAGAUACAAAGGAAAGUCUUGUGUCAUGAAAUUUGAUGGAUAACAGUAAAAUAUACUGAACUGUUACAGAUAUAUUAAAAUACAGUUAUUCUCAGCUGCAGAACUGAGUAACCAGAUUUUUCUAAAACCAUUUUUCCUUUACGCACCCUUGAAGGUUUCUCAACCUAACAUUAAUUUUCAGUUCUAUGCUCUACAUUUCAUUUUGUGUUUUGGGUUUUUUUUGGUGCAGGGGGGUAUUUUUCCUUCUUCUUUUUCUCCUUUUUCUUCUUUUUCUUCUUCUUCUCUUUCUUCUUUUUUCCCUUUUUUUUUAAAUACUGUAAAUAUCCUUGCUGUGAGUUAAUUUUUUCUUUCAUUUUUAAAUGAGAAUCAUCAGAUUAUAAAAUCUUUUGUCUGAAAUUCCUAGUGUAUACCAGUGUAGAUUUAAUUUAUUAUUAAUAUAAUUCAGGGUAGCAUAAAAGAUCUGGCAUGUCUUCAUGUGUCUACUUUGUCAGCUGCCUGUUGAGGAGAAGAGAAAAUAUCCAAGCAAGAUGGCAACUCUGCAGCGUUCAGAGGAAGAACCUUUGAUAUUAAAACUCAGAUGCUGUUACGGAUAAUUGAAUUCUGUCAUGCUGUAUUCCUUUCUAAAAGUUAACACCAAUAUGCAUUAUUUGCUAUACCUAAAACUUAUUUUUUAAGUCUACACAUAUGCUCACUCACAUAUUUGGGAGCUUUAAUGUUUUUGUCUAUUUCACAAAAAAAAAAAUUCCAGCUCUCCAGCUGAAAUAAAGGUCAUAUAAAUAUAUGUUGUUGGUUUGUUUUUUUUUUAAAUUAGGGAAAUAAAUACUGUGGUAAGUAAAGCAAUUUAGAAUAGGCCCAAGCAAUUGAUUGUUUUUUGACAAUUUAUUUAGAAUCACAGACUCAUAGAAUAGUUUAUGUUGGAAGGGACUUUAAAGAUGAUCUAAUUCCUAAUCAUCUUUAAGGUCCUUAUUCUUCAGUGACUGAAACUACUUUAUUAGGUAUUUUGUAAUAUUAGUCUUGCAAUUUCUUUUCCUAUGAAAAGUGCAACAUUAGAACCCUUAAAGGUCAUAUUGUUAUAACCCUUAUUUAGCUGUGCAGUGCAGAAACAUACCAAUUUUUCCUUAACCCUUUGUUUGACCCAAACAGAGGAAUGACUAUUAAUUUUUUUAAAAAAGUAAGGGCUACCAUCUACUGUUAAUGGUGAGCAAGAGAAAGCAAGUGUGAAGAAGUGGAGUCCCUUGCAUCUUUCCCUGAACUAGAUUAAAGCAUAAACAUAUAUCCAUGCCUGUACUGCAUCGGCCUAGUGAAGAGCUUUGGCAUUUAGUCAAAAAAAGAAUUAGAGGCUAGAGAAGCAGUUGCUUAUAUCACCCUAAAACAGGAUCCUGUAAGCACCAUUAGGAAAAAAAAUGAAGCCAAGUCCGUCUGGUAGCCGCAUAUAUUUUAGGCUGUUAAGCACUGAUGUAUAUGUUGGUACAACCCUGAUUAGCUUUGCUUCUGAAAUGUUUUGCACUUCUACCUUAAUUCCCCAAAAUAAGAGUGAAGGGGUUGUAGUCACCCUUCCUAUGGGGAAGAUCACAUAGUCUAUUUUUGAAAUAAUUUGUUCUCCUGCGGUCUCCUUUGCACUUUUUGCUAUGCACAGGCAGCCAAACCUUUAUGCCUGCUUUAACUGUUUUUCAAAGUUUCUUGGUGAUCAUCCUUCGCAUAAUUGCACUUUUAGCUUCCUUUAUAAGACUAAUAAGCACUGCACAGAGUGUGUUUUUAUGACCCACAAUACAUCUAGAGGAAGAGAGGUACUGAUAAGUUUCCACAUUUUUCAUCUUCUGAUAGAAGCCUGACAUAUCUUCCAGUUCAUUCAUUCUGUGAGAUGAUUAAAAAGUUGUUCUUCAACAAACUUAAACCCCAUCCAGGGCUCAGCAGGAAACAACUGCAAUCUAAGCACAUUAAAGAACACACAGGGCAAACCAAAGUAUACCUCUUUCUUUGCCUUUUAAGAUCAUGCGUAAAAGAGAAAAGCAAUCUAAUAUUGUGCUAAAACUAGAAGCCUGCGGCACCUGGUUGAUGGGUAAGGAUAUAGAACCUAAUCCAAAGCAUACAGAAGUCAACAGAAGGACUUUGGAUAAAUGAGCUUUGUAUUAGGGAGCUAGUGAGUGAAUGAUGUUUAAAGCAUUCAUGUAGAUCUUAAGCACAUGAGUGAAGAAGAAAAUUAUGUGCAUUUUAAUCAAAAUAAAUGCCAUGAAACCACUUGGUGGUGUAAAUGCUAUUUUGCCUGACCACAGAGAUUAUGCUUAUGACUCAAAGUAAACUGACAGUGGAUCCUUGGGUACUGAGUCCCAUCCUCCAGUACUGCAGUCACUCAUGUUGCAUAAAACCCCAUAUUUUAAAUAUAUGUAUAUAAUUUUUAUGUUGAUAUUGAUCUUGAAGUUCAAUAUAUCACUGCAAACAUCCACAGAACCUUCUUAUCCAUUCAUGUGUUUGCAGAGAAUAUUUAUCUCAUCUUAAUCAUGUUCGUAAAGCAAUACAAGAUUUUUUUAUUUGCUCUCAUGAAUUAAAUUCUGUGUUCCUGACAUAAUGCUGACAGACUUCCCCUUCACUUCUACUCCAUUUUUAGUGAAUCUUUCAGUGAAUCUUUCUUUAAUAUGUAAAACAGGAAUUGUUCAUUAUUUCCAUCAUGAAGAUGUACUCUACCUGAUGUAAUACAAUUAAACAUCCCUUUGUUUCCCAGAAAUAUCUUGUCUAAUACUCCAUAACAGCAUUUAUCAUAGCUACAUAGUGUUUUAGUGGCUGACAGUCCUUCUGUAGUAGAUUGGCUGGAUCUUUCUUUUUCUCUCUCUUUUCUAGGUAAUAAACUCUCAGUUUAUAGCAGAAAAGUUUGUUAGAUGGCUAUAUGUAUUAUUUAAUUUAAUCCCGCUUCAAUUAUAGAAAUCAAGGUCAUCUGAUUACGCCUGUGUGUUUUUAUGAUUUCAGUGAUUCUCAGACUUGUUUCAUCAGCUAAUUUCAACAGCAUGUUCCAAGUUUUUGUGAUUCAUUAUUUAACUUAAGUAUCAAAAAGGUUUAUUGCAAGACUGCCCAUGAAGAACCCCUUAACAGCUGCUGCAUAAUGAUGCAAACACUUAACACAAUCUGUUGCCCUCUCCUGUUUAGUCAAUUUUGUAUCUUCUCAAUCUUAAGUAAUACUUUCCUAUUAGAUAGUGUCAAAAAUUGUUUUGAAAUCCAUAUACAUGAGAUCUUCUCCACUUGCUUUGUUUAGAAAAUAAAUUAUUAAAGAAAGCAAUCAGGUAAAUGUUAUCAUCUACUCUUUGAAAGUUGAUUAAGUGUGUUCUGUACUUCUAUGUUGUUACUCAUUCUUUGCUUCAAAUUUACUCUGAAGCUUUGCAUUCUAAAGCCACCUAAAAAUCUCCAUAUUUCCUCCUUUCAGAUUCCCUUUCCAAAUGCAGGCAGGUCACUUGCAAUUUUCUAUAGUUGCUCAUCCUGAUAUACUCACUAAGAAUCUUUGUUCUACAUCCUUCAGGUGUAUGUGUUAAUUCCCUCAGGAUUCUGGAAUGAAGGUCAUCAAGACUUUUUUAUUUGAGUAUUUUGUAGUCUUUUUUCCUUUCAGAUGUGAUUGUUCUUUCCCGCACUGUUACUCUCAUUUAUCUUUUUCCCCGUUUCAUUAGAAUCAUAGAGUGGCUUGAAUGGGAAGGGACCUUAAAGAUCACCUAGAUCCACCCUCAGUCAUGGGCAGUGACACCUUCCACUAGACCAGAUUGCUCAAAGCCUCAUCCAAACUGUCCUUGAACAUCUCCAAGGAUGGGGCAAUCCACUUUUCUCAGCAACCUGUUCCUGUGCCUGACCACCCUCACAGUAAAAAAUUUCUUCCUAAUAUCUAAUCUAAAUCUCCCCUUUCAGCUUAAAACCUUUACCCCUCAUCCUAACUACACUCCCUGAUAAACAGUCCAUCCCUAUUUUUUCUGUAGGCCCCCCUUUAAGUACUGUAAGGCCGCUAAAAGGUCUCCCAGAUGUGUGUCAUGAGAUAUCAUAGACUUGUACACCUUCAGGUUCCUUAGGUGGUCUCACACCUGAUCUUCUCCUACAGUGGGCAGGCAGUUUUACAUCUCCCAGUCCCUGCCUUUGUCUUCUGCACCUUGGGACAUGAGGCUUGAGUUCUCACCAGGGAAAUCUGAGGCAAAAAUGUCAUUUAGUCCUGCAGCCUUCUGGGUAACCAGGUCUCUUGUUUCCUUAAGGAGAGGGACCACGUUCUCCCUAGUCUUCCUUUUAUCACUGACAUACCUGUAGAAGCUUUUCUUUUUGUCCUUGACAUCCUUGGUUGAAUCUAAUUCUAUCAGCUUUGGCUUUCCUAACCUGGUCGUUGGCUGCUCAGACAACUUCUCUGUUUUCCUCCCAGGCUACCUGCCCUUGCUUCCACCCUCUAUAGGCUUCUUCUUUGACUUUGUUUGUCCAGGAGUUCCUCAUUUAUCCUUGCAGGCCUCCUGGUGUUAUUGCCGGAUUUCCUUUUUGUUGUGAUGCAUUGGCCCUGAGCUUGGAGGCAGCUUUUCUGCCCCCUCCUGCCCUCCAGGGCUUUAACCCAUGGUAGUCUACUGAACAGAUCCCUGAAUAGGCCAAAAUCUGCUCCACUGAAGUCCAGGACAGUGAGCUUGCUGCACACCCUCCUCACUACCCUAAGGAUUUUGAAUUCCAACAUUUCAUGGUCAUUGCAGCCAAGGCUUCCCUUGAGCUUCACAUUUCCCACCAAUACUUCCUUGCUGGCAAGAAAAAGGUCCAGCAUAGCAUUUCUCGUCAUUGCCUCUUCUAUCACUUAGAGAAGGAAGUUGUCAUCAGUGCACUCAGGAACCUCCUGGACUGCUUAUGUCCUGCUGUGUAUCACAAACCUUGUUGAAAGCUGAAACAGUGUAGAAUUUAUUUGGCUAUCUCUAGUUAAAUAUAAAUUUACUUUUUUUUUUUUUUUUGCUUAUUUAUAGCAUGUUUGUGAAGAUCUCAUUCUCUGAAUAAGAUCUGAAUCUUUAUAGUUGACAUUUCAUUCAAGUCUGAAAGGUGAUACUAUUUACAUGUUUUGCUGUUUUGCCAUUGCAUGUCUGUGUGUCUGUCUUGUCUAUGUAUUGCCUACGUAUUGUCUGUAUUAUUCAUCUGCAAGUUCAUUAUUUUGCACAUCUGAAUGCUUUAUAUUAAAAGAAUUAAAAGAAUGUCAAAGGUCACUCCAAAUGCAGAGAGGUGUUUCCAGUUACCAGAUUUUACCAGGCUAUAAAUACAGAAAGAAUAUAUAUAUUUUAAGUACUUGAUGGACAAGCAAAAUCUAGAUAUGUCCUUCCAUGGAGAUUCUUCUAUCAAGUACCUUAGAGGAGUUUAGAGAGAUAGAUUAUAGAGAGAAAAUUAGGGACAGAAUAGUGGAAGAGUGAAGAUAGUGAAGUGUUUUUUCCCUUUUAUGAACAAAUACAAUUAAAAUUUUAUGAGGGAGAAAUGAAGAAAAGCAAAAUUCAGAAAGCUGAGGGAGUUGCUGUUUUCAUUUUAAACCUAUACAUCGACACAGCUGGAUGAAUCUACUUUUUAACUAAGUUACUUAUCUUUUAUUUAUUGACUUUUGUUUUUCUUUUAAAAUAUUUUGACUUCUUUUACUAAACUUUUUUUU